UUCUACUUUAGUGACCCUGUUCCAUUGUUUCUGGACCUGGUACAGGAUCACUUCAGUUAUAAGUAACGCAUGUGCAAGUUCUGUUCAAGCUACAUUUUGCUCGCUUUUAUUAGACAACGAAGCUUUAACACCGAAAGCUGCCACUAUUAGAAGUACUGACUUGUUGUGUGGAGGCUACCCAUGCUGUAAACGCAGUGCUAGAGCAUCCAGGGAGCUACUUUCAGUUGAUUUGCCGAUACAAAGAAGAAGAAAUACACCUUAGCUAACCUUGGAAUCCCACAAGAAGCUAGCCAGCCAGCUUGUAUAAGUUCCCUAACUGCUUUUGUUGAUCAAUGUUUCAGCGCUUGUCUCGUGUAUUGUAUUGUAAAAUUUGAUUAUUUUGUAUUUUUGUGUUUGAUUUGCGGCAUUCUUACACAUAUAUUUUCAUUUUUGCCGAUUGCCAGCAAAAAUAUACGGCCUACUCUGCUGCUUAAAGCGGCUGCUGCUCGAUAUAAAGUGGACUAAGCGGUUCCAAAAUGUGUCCAGUUUUGUCAAAAAAUCCACAAUUAUCAAUGACGUAUCGCAUUAUCUACACAUACCCAAGAGCUGCGUAGAGCCACUAAUUUGGGGAAUUCCCCAUUAAUCGCAAUGUACCAGCAAUGUAAAGUGAGUGUAUAUGGCUGCAACUUUCAGAACCUCCCCCACUGGGUCAUGCAGAUUACUGGAGAAGUAGUGUCUCUUGGCGUCAUCAUUAUUUUUCUCCACCCCUAGAGAAAAAGUAGGUCAGCAAACCUCACUGGGAGACGUUCCAGAAACUUCUUGGUGUCGUUCCCCUGCAGUGAUGUCCAUUCGUAAUGUCCAGAAGCUUUGCCAUCUGGACCCCUUGCUUCCCAUACCCUGAACGUGAUACCACAGUCUUUAACGAUCGUCUGUAGUGUUUGUAGGAAAAACUCAAGGCGGUACUCUGUUUCAUCAACAGUGAGUAGUGGGUGUGAAAAGAUGUCGUUCAACUCCUUCAAUACCUCAGAUAGUCCUGAACUAAUUGUUUCAUACGACUCUUCGGCUUUUAGGCCAGCAAAAGUAUGAUUGCCUGUAUGAAUGUCAAUAUAAAAAUAUUUUCACCACUUUCUCGUUUAAUAUUUUUAUUGUUAAGCUUACCCAUGCCUGAUAAAACAUUGUCUUGAAUUUC